rnacentral:rRNA from 1 species
CCAAUAGCGUAUAUUAAAGUUGUUGCAGUUAAAAAGCUCGUAGUUGAAUUUCGGGAUCAAUAGGUCGGUCGUGCCUCCGGUACGUACUGGUGUUAUUGAUUUCUCCUUUCUGAUGAGCCAUGAUGCCAUUAAUUUGGUGUUGUGGGGAGUCAGGACUGUUACUUUGAAAAAAUUAGAGUGUUUAAAGCAGGCAUACGCUUGAAUACAUUAGCAUGGAAUAAUGAAAUAGGACGUUCGAACCUAUUUUGUUGGCUUCUAGGAUCAACGUAAUGAUUAAUAGGGAUAGUUGGGGGCAUUAGUAUUCAAUUGUCAGAGGUGAAAUUCUUGGAUUUAUUGAAGACUAACUACUGCGAAAGCAUUUGCCAAGGAUGUUUUCAUUAAUCAAGAACGAAAGUUAGGGGAUCGAAGACGAUCAGAUACCGUCGUAGUCUUAACCAUAAACUAUGCCGACUAGGGAUCGGAUGAUGUUAAUUAUUUAAUGACUCAUUCGGCGCCUUACG